rnacentral:rRNA from 1 species
GACGAACGCUGGCGGCGUGCUUAACACAUGCAAGUCGAACGAAGAGCGAUGGAAGCUUGCUUCUCUCAAUCUUAGUGGCGAACGGGUGAGUAACGCGUAAUCAACCUGCCCUUCAGAGGGGGACAACAGUUGGAAACGACUGCUAAUACCGCAUACGAUCUAAUCUCGGCAUCGAGGAUGGAUGAAAGGUGGCCUCUACAUGUAAGCUAUCACUGAAGGAGGGGAUUGCGUCUGAUUAGCUAGUUGGAGGGGUAACGGCCCACCAAGGCGAUGAUCAGUAGCCCGGCUGAGAGGAGUAACCGCCACAUUGGGACUGAGACACGGCCCAGACGUCCUCGGGAGGGAGCAGUGGGGAAUCUUCCGCAAUGGACGAAAGUCUGACGGAGCAACGCCGCGUGAGGGAUGACGGCCUUCGGGUUGUAAAGCUCGGUUAAUCGGGACGAAAGGCCUUCUUGCGAAUAGGGAGAAGGAUUGACGGUACCGGAAUAGAAAGCCACGGCUAACUACGUG